ACUCGUUCUCUGCCAUUAAUAAUUGUACACAUGGAAACCAGAUGUUUAAACGUUCCGUGUGCUUUAGUUCUGAGGUCUCCUCUUUGUGACAUCUUUGGCCACACUAUACUUUUUAUUUCAGGUUUAUCCAUGGAUAUCGCGCUUGGUUUUCAGCGUUCACUUAAGCCCAAGUGUCACUCGAUCAGGCACCUGUUAUGGUCUAGUCCUUGGGCCAGGGACCCCCAGUUAUAAAAGAGAUAGUGUGAACCUAUGUGCUUCCCAGUUUCAUGAGGACAGCCGGAGGUUCACUCCCAGUUACGUGGGGGUCGGUAUGACCAAGCGAGUGGUUCGGUGGAAAGCAUGCGUUUCCUGGCAUUUCUCUUUCUUUUCCUCAAUUUGCUUAAUGAUCAUUUCUUGCUAAUGGUGCUUUGAGGAGUCUGGAGAGGCCCCAAAUUGCAGAGGAAAGUGCUAACAGGAAGAGAAGUGCUGACCUGGCUCUGAGCCCCAGGGCAGGUCUCUUAACCUCCCGAGCCUCAGCGAGCCUCAGUUUCCAUGUGUUACUUAGGGCUAAUUACACCUACUUCAAACAGACUUCUGUGAGAAGCAUUAUCUCAUUAGAGAUAAUGUUCUUAAAAGCGUUUUGAAAUUUUGUGUAGCAUUUUUCAAAUGCUAAGCAUUGUCAUAUUUAUUAUUGAGCGCUACUAAUUCCGCACCAGAGGUGGUGAGGACAGAAGAGGCCGUUGUUAUCACCGUUGCUCUGCCACAGCUGGGUUCUGGGAUGUGUUGGGAUGGAUGGGCCACGCAGGGGAAGGCCAUGAAUCAGCCGUGGAAGAACUCAUGGUCAGACAGGGAGGCAAGCAGUAUAAAGGGAGCCAUGAAUAGGUCUCGGAGAGGCUGUGGGUCUUUCUUGCUCCAACACCUUCUGCCUGUCGUCAGGAAACGCUUUCCUGGAAGAGAGACACUUGACCUUAGCUGUCACUAACAGGAGAAGAAGAAUCAACUUGGGGCUCUCAUUCAUCAAAAGACUCUUUAUUGGAUAACACGCAGUGUGUGUCAGGAGAUAUGUAAAUACAUUUUGGUUGGGGAAAUCAAGUACGUCCUGAGAGAAGGUAAACAUGGCUACAGUGUUUCUUCCAGGCUACAGAGCACAGAAAGGCCAGGUGCUGUGGGAGUCAGAGGGGCACCUUGUUUAGGCCUCAGAGUCCAUGGGAAAAGUUCAGAAGGCAGGAUGCUCUACCAGAAAGGCCCUCUAGGCAUUUGCUGGUAGUUACCCUUCGUUCACUGCCCAUUCCUAAUAGGCUUGAAACAUUCGCUUCCAUAUUCAGUCAUUGCUGUCCACAUGGUUGGUAGGAGGAGCAUGAAGAAGUCAACUUUGCAGUUUCCCCACUUUGCCCUUUGUGGGUAGAGGGCUUUGUAGGGAUCUGGCUGUGAAUUUUAGUGAUUGUGACUCAUUCAGGGUACAAGUCUCAAGGUUUGUGACCUGAGCCAAGGCCAAAUGCUGGGGAAGAGGAGCAAGGGAAAGGCCUGGGAAGUGGGAGGGUGAGAGCCUGUGCACCUCCUGAGGUGGCUUAGGAAAGGGGGUGCCACACGGGCCUUCCUGCUAUCACAGAUCGGUUCCACUGAAGACUCAACCCUCUCCUGGCCCUGCCCUUGUUCCCUGCCCUUGAUCUGUAAAACACAAGGCUCCAGGGUGAGGACAGCAGUGAGAAAUGGCAGUGUCCAGCAGGGCUUCGUGUCUGUGCCUGGGGUGCCAUGGCCUGCUUACUUAGUGUUUAGAGACUUCAAAAGGAUCCAGCCAACAUUGGGGGGCCGGGCUGACCAGAGAGGAGGGGUGAGAGACAGAACAGUGCCCCGUUUAUCUCCCAGGAGGAAAGGAGAGGAAAGUGGAUAUAAAUCCCGCCUGUGGCCUGUGCGCCAUCCUGCCCUGUGAGGCAGGCCAGGUACCAGAGAGCCAGUCUGCCUGCUUCUGUGUGACCUCAAUACAUCGGAAGGAUUAUUCACAACAGCUUUAGGCAGCAAAAUGCCGAUUCCGGCAAAGUAGGCUUUCAGCUUUAUUGGCACUGGGCAUCACCAAAAUACUCAUUCACUAAGUACGUCCCAAGGGCUUGUCAUACCAGUUUAUGGCAUGACACAUGUUAUUCUUUAUCAACUUAGAAUGGUGAUCAGAAGAGAGAACCCCAGACGUCACUGGAGAAAUGGGGAGAGCCCUGGGAUCACAAUGUGUAAUAGGAUCCGAGAGGAAAUACCCCCGGCAUGGUUAAAAGAGACCACUUCCUACCAUCUCCAACCUCACACAGGCUGAGCUUUGGUAAUUAAAUAGGCAGAAGGGUUUCUUCCAGGUGAAUCAUUUGGAAAACUUACUCCCUAAUGUGCGCUUUACAUGUUCUUUAUCACCGAUCUUAGACUUAGCAACCAGGAGUGUGCAAAACUGCAUUGGAAAACUGUGCCUGGGCACAACUGGCGUGAGUCAGCAAUGAUGCCAAGGAUGGGGAAUUUAUGCAGCUUCUGGGACUGUGUUAUUGUUUGUAUGCAUAUGUGCAUGUACAGACAGUUAGGCACAGAUACACAUGCACGCAUACAUACUUUUCUGAUGCCCACGGAGUCCUGCAAAUAAGGAAGCCGUUGAAAGGACACACAGGAAGGCGGGGAAAGGCCCACAUGCGUGGCUCUGCAGCAAACCUGCACAAAUCUUUGUGACCCGAGCCUGGCGGGUCACCGUGGAGGUGUUACCAGCAUGCAUGUGUCAUAUUAAAAUACAGCUUUGCAAAGACGCACCGACUUUGAGAGUCACACCAUACAUAAAGAAACAUCCGAAGUUGUCUUCCAGCCACUGCUCAACAACUGCACAUCCUCGUUCUGUGCACUUCGCUAAGCUCCUUCCUGCCCCCGCCAGCCCAGGCUCCUGAUUCUGAGGAGUACAUUAUAGUCUUGGGGCCUGAGUCACAUCUUCUCUUUAGCUCCCAAAUUACUGUUAGUUACACAAAUAUCACCCUCUAGUAGAUUUCUAGAACAUAAAGUAUUUGCCAGGAACCUUUCCGUUUGUAAUUUUGUAAUCUUUAAUCCCAGUAGCAAGUUUGCAUCAGAGAUGUUUUCAGUCCUUAUUCAUCAAAGAAACAAUUCAGAGGCAAAGUGCCCCCCCCCAUCCCCAGGAGGUUGCUAGGACCACACAUCUAGGAGUUGGAGGAGCCAAGAAUUGAACCAGAAUUCUGUGUUAUUCAAGUCACGGGGCUUACACUUUGCAGGGCAUGGAAACUUCUGCAUCCAUGUCUACACCAGAUAGUGGAAUAAAAGGGGUUUGAAGAAGAUGGAUGGAUGUUUUGAUUUCUGUGACUGCAAGGAGUAUGGACAGGAUGAGCUGUGUAUCGAACCCAUGCCAUCUGGCCCUGUGCACCACUCGAGAUGACUUGCUGGGGACCCUGGCUUUGCAUCAUGCCUGGAUCAGCCUUGUGGCUUUCUUCCUCCUCCUCUUCCUCCUCUUCCUCCUCCUCCUCUUCUUCUUCCUCCUCUUCCUCUUCCUCCUCUUCCUCCUCCUCCUCUUCUUCUUCCUCCUCUUCCUCUUCCUCUUCUUCCUCCUCCUCCCCGUCUUUCCUUUUUUGCCUUCUGGUGAUGCACAGAAUUCAGUUUUUCCUGAGAUUCUAUGUAUUGACUCGGGAAGUGACAUUUUGAUUUGGGAAGGUGUGGUCCUUUUGGAUGGAGGUCACGUGAGCAGCAGCAGAAGCUGUACCUGGCAGAGUUUGGAGAAGUGGAGGAUUCCUUAGAUACCUGUUGAGCUUGCUUCGACUUACGACUUGCAAAGUGUGCUUGGGUGUCUGAGAUUGAGGGAGAAAGGAUAGCUGAGCUGCCUAGAGAGUCGGUGCUUCAUUCCCUCGCCCCUGUAGAAGUACACACUGAUGCACAUGUUCAGACCAGCAAAGACUCAGGCACCGCAUUCAUCCACCCCAGGCUCACAGCCAAAGGAAUGAGAAAGACUUGGCACGAUGUCAUGGGAAAUGUCAUGGUCCCUUCUGGACUCACUUAAAAAGCCCAAGACCCAUUUACUUUUGAUUUCAAGACAUUUCUAUUUAUAGUAUUUCGGGAAGCUGGAGUCUAGGAGGAUCCUGUCUGUAGGAAUUGUCAGUUGCAUACAGCAGGCUUAUGCCUUUUCAGGUUUCACAGCGCCAUAGCCUUGACCUUAAAUGCUCCCUAAUGUCUGGGUGUUUUAGGCAUGGUCCCAGGGUGGCCCUUUUGGAAAGUACUGGGACCUGUAAGAAAUAUGGCUCAGUGGGACGUCAUGGAGUUAUUGUGAGUGUGCCCUUGAAGGGGACAGUGAGGCUGAGGCACACCUCCCCUUUUGAUGUGUAUUUGUCUAUAGACUUACAUAUGACAAGCUCCCGACUGCAUUCUAGAGUCACAGGGCUAACAUACCAUGGUUGGAACCUCCAAAAAUCAGGAGCUGAAGUGAACCCUCUGUCUUUUGUAUCUUAGUUAUCUUCUGUGUGUUAGAGUGACAGAGAACACAGAAUGUUAGUGUUCCCAACUGCUUAUGAAUUACUUCAUCAGGAUGUAGAUCACGGCUGUCCCUGAGAAGAGAUGGUACCUGGAGCAUAUGGGAGGAGAAUUUUCAGCUCAGGGCAGGGAAUGGGACCUGGCCAGAGGAGAGCCAGUCCUAAAGGGAGAGGGCAGUUCUUAGGCAUGUGCCAAGGCUAGUGCAAACCUCAAAGCAGGGCUGCCAAGGAGCCAGAGCCAGCUGGAUGGAAUGUCAGCAAGCCAGAGGCUCAAGAAUGUGGACAGUGGGAAGGGCUUAGAAUCAAGCUGGCUUUCUGAGUCAGGGCAGGGCAACAAGCAGGAAGCAAGCCGAGGACCCAGAUGUGACCCAGUGACAUAAGUAAGAACAAGGACUAUAGAAGAAGCAGUCAGAGGUCCCACAAGAAAUCCAGGCCACAGAUCAGUCAUGUGCUUAUGGACUCUGGGUGGGGGGAAUAGGGGAUGGUGUCACAGCCCUCAGAAUGUAGCUAGCAGGCUUGCUUAUGAGCCUGGGAACUUUCCAUGUUUGUAAGGCGGGGGUUGGGUUAGGAUGGGGGCUUUCAGAUUAAGGUAGGGCAAGGUGGACUGGAGUAUUAAAGAGAAGCAUCAAUUUUUCUCUGUCCUCAGGACAAAGCCAAUGUUAUUCUCUCUAAAUCCUGAUGGGAAAGGUUUUGGGGAAAACUCUGGGAGCUGACCUUGAGUAGGUGUUUGUUUAAAUGGCAUGCACAUAUCUUUAAUCCUGGCACUUGUGGGGCAGAGACAGGCAGGUCUCUGUGAACUUAAGGUUAGCCUAAGCUACAUAGUAAGCUUCAGGCCAGCCAAGGUUCCAUAUUGUCUGUUUUAGCAUACACACACACACACACACACACACACACACACACACACACGCUCACACAAAGAUACACACUCACACACAGAUACACACACAAAGAUACACACACAGAGAUACACACACACACACACACACACACACACACACACACACACACACACCAGUGAUAUCAGGAACUUAAGUUUUCAGUUUCUUCUUUGAGGAGUAGCGGUGGCAACACUCGUUCUGUCUUGUUUCCUGUUCUAUUAAUCUCUUAAGACAGUAUUCGCAUAGUGUGCCCUGAAGAAUAGAACACUUGGAUAAACCUCUUGGGAAGACGGUGUGUAAAGCUCAGUGGCAACUGUUACCUCUGGGCAGGUGCCAAGGGCCUGAGGCAGCCUGCUUUCUUACAUCCCAUCUGCUUUCUUUGUGUUGAUUGGCUCAUCUGGCUGGCUUCACUAUGCCAGUUUUUGACAGGUAUGGAGGAGGACUAAAAAACUCAAAAGAUUUUGUGAGCUCCCUUAGACCUUGUGCUUUAUUCAUGGCAAACUGUACCAUGAUGCGGGCUUUGUCACUCACAGCCAAUCUCUGUGGCUCAAGCUAAGAAAAAUCAUAAUGAUCCGACUUAGUUUCCCGACUGUACAGAGUGCGGAAACUGAGGCUAAGUAAAAUUUUGUUCAAGUCCAAAUACAACAGAAACCACAUUUACUAUAACCUGUGUACUUUGUACGCAUUCCUGACUGACCGGCGGGUGGGAGCUAGAAGAUGGAGUUUGGGAUUUCUGACUACCAUUUCUUUGUAGGUGAAAGCCACAUUCAUCACUUUUGAGACAAUUGCACAGGCUUAGAGUAGCAGAACCCAAAAUAGACUUUCCUCUCUCAGGAGCAACUCUGCAUAAAAGACUCACUGGCUCUGGACUAGGUCCCUGUCACACCCCUGGCAGAAGUAGCCAGACCAAGGGACCUGGCCAGGAAUCUGGGUUGUCCCAGACGGGGAACAAACACUUGUCACAGAAUGAAUCGUGGCGUUGGGUAGACAGCCAAGUUUGCAGGAUUGGCGCUGUAUUGAUGAAGAAGGGAGAUUUGCGCUUUGUCUUGACCUCUGUCGUCAGCCAGUUACGGCGAAGUAGAGAUGACAUCAGGACGCUGUGGGAGAGCUUUAAGCUUAUCUCCUUCUACCCUAAAUACGUGGCAAGCGAACCCUCUAAAAAUAGCAGCGAGUGGCACCAUAACAAAGAAAGCAUGCAGCAUACAAGAAGGCAUGGUGCCCUCGGGCCGUUGGCCCCCACCCAGAGUUAACAUUUAGCAGUGUUUUUUGUCUUGCUCUUGAGGCUGUGGGCCAAAGUUUGGGCAGAGAUCCAUUUCAAUGGCUUGUUAUCUGUCAGCUAAGCUAACCUGUGCUGCCCAGGGUUGCAGUAUGCGUCACAGAGAUGCGAAUGCAGCAGGGAUUUGGCAACACACGAGGGACUUACACUGACCCUUCCUGCAUAGACUUGGAGUCUGUCUGUACUCAGCACCCUGGUGCACGUGAGAGGAGCUUAGUCUUUCCUUGCUAAUUGUGGUGAUGUCCGAAAAUAGCAACGGAUCUCUAGCUCCCCAGAGAAUCAUGGUCCCUGCUAAGACUAUGUUAUGUUAUGCUAUGCUAUGCUAUGCUAUGCUAUGCUAUGCUAUGCUAUGCUAUGCUAUGCUAUGCUAUGCUAUGCAAUGCUAUGCUAUGCUAUGUUAUGUUAUGUUGGAGUUGUUCAUGCUAAAGAGAAGACUGCUUAUUAAGAGUCUGGUCUCUAUAAUCUUCCGUAGUAACAGGCGUUUCAGCUGAGCACGUGAUUGUCUAGAAUAAAGUGCUGGAGUUCUUAUCCUCCCUCGGAAUUGACUGCUAUUGUAUGACCAAGACUGACCCAGGGGCACAUCAUCAGGAGUGAUGUGCUUAGCUUCAUGGUCACUUUGAAGGGAGGCCAUGGGGCCUUGUCCUUCUUCCUUGCAUGUAUGCAGUCAUGAGGUGUGCUGUGUCAGAUAAUGCAGAUUAAAGCAGCACCCCGGCGGGAUACAGAGCAACAACACAGAAGGGAUGUGGGACAUUGACCACUAAGGGAGAGGUUUCAUGUGUGUCUCCCAUGGAAGGCCAAUCAUUUUGGUCUCCAUCGGCCAUAGCACAACGUAUGGUUUAAGUUGUACAUGAUUUAGUAGGAGAUUUUACUUUGGAAUAAUAAAACAAGAUAGCAAUCAAAUAAGAGUAAUGGGAAACAGGAAACCAGGCUAAAGAAAGGGAGAAUCUUUUCUCUUUUUGGCUUCCAUCGCAUAUACAGGACUCAUAUACCCCCAGGAAAUAUAGGUCGAGCCUACUGAUAUGGUUUCUGGGGGACUUUUGUAUCAGAUAAUUUUAUGACUUGAUUUUCUUGGAGACUACAUGCGGUGAUGAAAACAUCUAAGUGGAAACAGAGGCUGUGAAAUUAGUUUUGGAAAAAGCGUCAACUAACCAGUGUUGGGCAACCAGCCGUUUAUCUGUGUGCAGUUAGGGUCGUAAGAUUAGCAGGUUAUGGGGUUAGGAGAAGGUCUCAGAGAUGACCAGCUUCAAUCAUCAGCUUUAUGUCUAAGAGUCAAGGUAGAGGGGGCUGGGGAUUUAGCUCAGUGGUAGAGCGCUUACCUAGGAAGCGCAAGGCCCUGGGUUCGGUCCCCAGCUCCGAAAAAAAAGAACCAAAAAAAAAAAAAAAAAGAGUCAAGGUAGUGGGUACAUUAUCCCUUUCAUUCUUGAGUCCAAAGUGGCUCAAAAAAAAAAAAAAAAAAAAAGAGCCACUAUAACUUGCCUGACUUGGCCUUCUUUGAGAGCGGUGACAGAGUUUCACAGUGACACUGUUCUUCUGUGACUCUUCAUUUUAGGAUGGAGGCCACUUUUUUGUUGUACUGAAAUAUACAUGUUGCAAGACUCACCAUUUUAACCACUUGGGAGGUGUAUUUAAUGGCAUUAAAUGUGUGUAGAGGGUUAUAUCACUAUUACCAAACCCCAUCUCUGAACUGUGCAUCUUGUAAAACUCUGGUACCCACUAAGCCCUCACUCCUCUCUACCUCAAACCCCACCGUGCCUUCUGUCUUUCUGCAUGUGCUAUGCCAGGACUGCAUAGUGCAGGGGUCAUGCAGCCCGUUUGUGAGUGGAGGUGGUUGGAUCGCUUGCUAGUCAGAAGGACCCAGGGGUCUGUGGUAAGCAGGAGUGGGAGAAACUCCUCCAGGGUGAGACACAGUAUCCUGGUGUCAAAAUGCCAUCUGCCACUUCACUUUUAAUGUACAUUACUGGGAGAUGUGGCACACAGACAUAGGUCCUGAAUAAGUUAUCUAGAAUAUGCUUGGCAGGACACUGAGAGGUCGGCAGCUCAGUGGUGCAGCAUUUGCUGGCAUCUGGCAGCCUGGGGUCACCACCCAGCACUGAAAAAAAAUUAAAUAAUGUCUCAGGAAAACUUAACAAUGGUGACAGCGAUGGCCCCUGCAACCUGACCAGCUCCAGGCUAAUCACAUGACCUGCCCAGCUCCAGGCUAAUCACAUGACCUGCCCAGCUCCAGGCUAAUCACAUGACCUGCCCAGCUCCAGGCUAAUCACAUGACCUGCCCAGCUCCAGGCUAAUCACAUGACCUGCCCAGCUCCAGGUUAAUCACAUGCUCAUCAGAUCUUGGUACUUCUCUUGUUCUGACUCUUCCUCUUCUCCCUGGCUCCUAACAUCCUCUGUUGAAGUUCUUUGUAAAUUAAGAAAGCAGUAAAACUUCGCCUCUCAGUGCAGAGAUGUCCUCUCUCAACAGUAGGCCCCAAGUCCUCUGCAUCUGGCUCCCCUGGUAUGUAGAUGUCCCCUUUGCUUAUGGAUUCCAGAAGAGUACUACUAUUCUGUUGGUGGCAUUAUGGAAUAUACAUCUAAGACUAUUGCCCACACCCAGUCAGACCCCGAGGUCCAUGUACUGUGGCCGAUGUUCCUGUGGCAGGAGUGAUUGGCUUGUAGUCAGCAGGAGUUAUGGUGUCAGUACCGUUUGGAACUAUUGGCUUCAUGGUACCAUUCCACACGAGGAGCCUUGGGCCAGCUGGCUUUCUGAUCUGUAUGAAUUUUGUUUUGUUGUUUCUUGGUGGUGCUGAGGAUUGAACCCAGUUGUGUACUAACUGAGGACUUACCACUCCAGGUCUACAAGUCAUACCCCAGGCAAACUAUUUUAGUAUGGAGCUUUCCAAAUAAGUCAUGGCAGGUCAGCAACUCCCAGAGAUCCCCCUGUGUCUGCUUUUAUAGCAUUGGGAUUCUAAGGGCUUUUUGCAUGGGUGCCGGGAAUUGAACUCAGGUCUUUCUGUUUGGAGGGCAAGUGCUUCACUGAAUGUUCCUAGUUCCCAUUCAAUGAGUUUUUAUGACCAUUUGUCUGUAUUGACCUUUGGUGUUUGUGGAACCGUCUAGAAUGACUAGAUUGUUGAGGCGUUUCUGACUACGAUCUACUUUUCUCAUAGAAUGAGUUGAUACUCUGAGGAGACUAACUGUGGGGCCCUGGCUCCAUGUGUGAAUGCUGGGAGAAGAGGCUCAACACGUUGGGAGGCAUUACUGACCAGAGCCAGCAUGUGCCACCCCCUUUCUAGCAAAGUUGGGAAGGAGAUGAUGUUUAGACUAAAGCAGAUGUGCCCUUGGUGGGGGAGCAAGCCAGACUUCCCUAGAAAAUAAUUUAGGGGGGGGGCUUUCAUUUUGCUGUGAAAUGUGAAAUCAUGUUUCACACUUAAGAGAAAAUAAUUGGGAAUAUAAUUUUCUCUCUCAAACUUAGAGCAAAUUAUUAUUUUCUUUUCUCACACGCUUCCUCCAUAGCUUCUCAGGCCUUUCAUUUUUAUCAUUAAUGUUGCAAAGUGCUUCUCUUAGCAGGGAAACUUCUAAAAGCUUACACAUGACAUUAGUAAUUCUGAUGAGCAUAGAGUUAAGUGAAAGAAGACAAAGAGAAUGUGCUCGGGAGGAUUCCAUGUAUAGCAUUUGAAAACAGACAGGACUGUAAAGUCACAAAUGGUUAGUUAGUACAGGCUCAGGGGAUGGAGGCAGGAGGAUUGCAAUCUUCAAGGACUGCCUGAGCUACAGAGCAAGUUCAAGGUCAGCCUAAGCAACUCAGUGAACAAUAUCUCAAAGUUCAAAUGAAAAAAUAAAAUAAAGCAAAUAAAUAAAUGAAAUACAAAAGACUAGGGCUUCACCUCAGUGGUAGGGCACUCGCAUAGCAUUUAGGAGGCCCCAGAUCGUCAGAGCUAUUUCCAAAUGGUUAUAGCAAAGGGUGGUGGCAUUGGCUGGCAGGGAAAGUGACUCAUCAUGGGGAGGGGCAUACAGAAAUGGGCUCCUUAGAGGUUGGUAAUGUUGUAUCCCUGGAUCUGGGUGGUGCUUUGAUCAAGACUUUAUUUCAUUAUUAUUUAUUAAAUAGUAGAAUGUGAUUCAUCUCCUGCUCUAAACGCAUGGUGUAUUCUUUAUAAAUAUAACAAAGGAUUCAGAAAUCAGAAAAAAGUCCCAGUACUUAGGAAAUACAGAUAAAUAUGUCAUAUUGAAUGAUCUUUCCAAAACCAUACUAGAAGGAUGGUAAAGAAAUCUUUUUAAAAAAGCUUAAACUACAAAGACAAAAUGCGAGGUGAAGAAAUUAGUAACCAUAUUUACAUACUCACAUUUAUACACACAUAUAUACACAUACAGUCAUACACACACGCAUAAAUACAUACACUCACACAUAUAUUCUCACACAAACAUUCUUUUACACAGUCAUACAUACACACUCACACACCCCACACUCACAUACACUCCCAGCACACUCCCCCACUCACAUACACACACCUACACACACUCACACACUCACACACUCUGAGGGGCUUGACUUUCACUUGAACAUUUUUCACUUGGUGUUCAUUUUUUGAUACCUGGAAUAUUCGUUAUAAUUUUAUUACAUCUUGUUUACAUAUCUAUUCAUAUGAGUGUACAUGCACAUAUAGGCUCGUACGCCAUGACAGGUGUGGAGUAUGGAGGACGGCCUAGAAGCCGGUGCUCUCCUACCAUGUGGGUCUCAGAACCUGAGCUCAGCCUAGGGGUCAAGCGUGCUUUUGCAUUGAAGCCAUCUUCAUGAUCCCUGAAAUGUUCUUUGAUAACAUAUUUUGCCUGGAGAUUUUUGUGACGCUAUUUAACAACCAAACAGCUGUAACCACUGCUUUACUGGGAACCGAUUUUCUGUUGAUUUCGCAGAAGACUGCUAAUCCUCUGGUUUUCUGGUUUGACUGACUUUUGCUAUGUCCAUUUGGUUUUUAGUACUUGUGUGUUUCUACAGAAAGUCACAUGCACAGAACGUCCUCAGGCAGGCUGGGUGGAGGAGGUUGGUUUCCAGUGCCACAUUCGAAUUGAUGUCUGUGUCCAUUUCACCCCACAGCAAGCCUUCCUGAGCCAUGGUCACAAGUGAGGGUUAGCGCUGAGUCUGGGACUCACCGGAGAGUCUCCUUGUGCGUCCAGCACCAGUAGAGAAAGGUACAGCCAUGUUUGAGAGCAGGAGAGUUGAUGGGAAACUAGCAAUGCAUUUUGUGUAUAAAAAGUAGCUGAACCCUAAGUGGCAAAAGGCGAAAUUCAGAUGUUUAAAAUGUAACUCAUCACUUUCCGAGUUUUGGGAGUUAGUGUCAUCAGGCAGUUUUGGAAAUGGUGGCUGAAAUGUGGUUAAAAUUUAGAGAAUUGGGGGCUGGGGAUUUAGCUCAGUGGUAGAGCGCUUACCUAGGAAGCGCAAGGCCCUGGGUUCGGUCCCCAGCUCCGAAAAAAAGAACCAAAAAAAAAAAAAUUUAGAGAAUUGGUUUAAGAAAUAAUUAGACAACACGUACUCACCCCCUUUCUCCCCCUCUCUUUCUUUUUUAUUUUUAUUUUUAAAUUUAUUAUGUAUUCAUUGUCGCUCUCUUUAGACACACCAGAAGAGGACAUCAGAUCCCAUUACAGAGGUUGUGAGCCACCAAGUGGUUGCUAGGAAUUGAACUCAGGACCUCUGGAAUAGCAAUCAGUGCUCUUAACCGCUGAGCCAUUUCUCUCUCCCUCCCUCCCUCCCUCCCUCCCUCCCUCCCUCCCUCCCUCCCUCCCUCCCUCCCUCCCUCCCUCCCUCCCUCCUUUCUUCUUUUCUUGCUGGAUGUUCUCCAGUGAGCCUAGAGCAGAAGUUCUCUGGGUAGGAAUAUGAGUGGAGCCCAUCAGAGGUGACUUUUCUAGCUGCUUUUCCAGGUGACUGAGUACCAACCUAUAACCUUUAGGUAGAAGGUUUGACCUUCUCUUUAGCCAAAGAAGCUCAGCCUGCAGAAGGAGACCUCAUGGGUCCAGAAAGAUCUGCCCAGCAAAGCCAUCCACAGUGAAACCUAGAAAAUGAGCCCCACCUGUCAGUUAGAAUAUUGUCCUAACUCUUUGCUAUCUCACUCUGAAUACAAAGACAUCCAAGAAAGCAUGUAAAGUGAAAAUAGAGACCAAAGUCAAAUAUCUAUUUAAAUCAGAAUCUCAGGGAAGAAACUUAAACAAACAAAAGGGAUAGAGAUCUCCCUUAACCUCAUCUUUAGAAAGGUAGAAAGGGAGCUAAUUGCUCUAUAGAAGAAAUGUUCAGAAGACAUAAAGAGUUGAAAAUAAAAUAAUAUGAUCACUGAGUGAACAUAUUGAACAGUUGCAAAUCAAAUUCAAGAGUCUCUAGGCCAGGGCAAAACAAAAUCAGAGAUGGGAACUAGAAGAAAACCAUGAAAAUUAGACAAUCAGAACAAGAGGACUCAUGUCUCAAUGCUAGGUGUCUUAGUUAGGGUUUUAUUGUGGUGAAUAGACAUCUUAACCAAGGCAACUCUUAUAAGGACAACGUUUGAUUCAGAAGUUCAGUCCAUCAAGUACCAUCAAGGCAGGAGCAUGGAGGCAUCCAGGCAGGCAUGGUACAGGAGGAGCUGAGAGUUCUACAUCUUCAUCUGAAGGCUACUAGGUGAAGACUGACUUCCACAUGUUAGGAGGAGGGUCUCAUUGCCCAGCCCCACAAUGACACACUUCCUCCAGCAAGGCCACAUCUACCCCCACAAAGCCACACCUCCUAAUAGUGCCAUUCCCUGGGCUAAGCAUUUUCAAAUAAGCACACUAGGGAUUCCAGAAAGGGAUAAAUGAAAAAGAAGAGGGGAGAAAAUAAAAGUGAACAUUUUCUGGGCCAGAAAGACAUGUUUUCCAGUUGAAGGGCUCCCUGUGUGCUCAUACCAGUGAACAUGCUAACAUGACAGUACAUCAUUGCAGCAGCCCAGGAAAGCAGGGAUAACUGUAAUGUUGUAUGGUGUCUAAAAGUGAGACAAGCGUGUUGGGAGAGUCAGGAAUGAGCUAUGUCUAACAGGAGCUUGGGAGGCUAGAAGACAAUAGAGCAACAUCUUAAAUGUUCUGGAAGAAAAUGAUUUCUAGUGGAGAAUUAUAUACCCAACUGAACUAUCACUAUCAAGAAGAUAGAACAAAAGCAUUUUCAGGUUGUUGCUGGUCCAUAACAAAUAGAGCCUUACUUGUGGACGUAUCCAUAAGGAAAGGUCAACCCAAGGGCAGUCCAGCAUAGGGAGAGGCAAAUAGAAGCUGUGAAGAGAUUCUCCCUGACCGUGCAAUGAAAACACAGUCUGCUGGUUUGAGGUGCACAUGUCAUAACCUUGGGAAGAAUGGGCAAGAGGUGGGGGAAACCCUCAACUCUCACAGUACAUAAUGAGCAAGAAGCAAAAACAAUCACCAAGAACCACAUUGUUUUAAGUAUGGAAUUAAAUACAAAAAGACAUAGUUAAGGGG